rnacentral:rRNA from 1 species
UACGAAGGGGGCUAGCGUUGUUCGGAAUUACUGGGCGUAAAGCGUGCGCAGGCGGCUUCUCAAGUCAGGGGUGAAAGCCCAGAGCUCAACUCCAGAACUGCCUUUGAUACUGGCGAUCUUGAGUCCGGGAGAGGUGAGUGGAACUCCGAGUGUAGAGGUGAAAUUCGUAGAUAUUCGGAAGAACACCAGUGGCGAAGGCGGCUCACUGGCCCCGGUACUGACGCUGAUGUGCGAAAGCGUGGGGAGCAAACAGG